UGACGCAGCACGCCGCGUGAGUGAUGAAGGCCUUCGGGUCGUAAAGCUCUGUCAUCAGGGAAGAAAUUGGACGGUGGCUAAUAACCAGGCCGCUUGACACGUACCUGCCAACGACCCCCCGGAUACAUCCGUGCCAGCAGCCGCGGUAAUAC
rnacentral:rRNA from 1 species